AAUGAGCUAGCAGAUGGGUGUGACAGGAAGUAUUGGCCAUUGGUUAUGUAGAAAAUUAAGGGCGUGUCAAGGAUGUAAGUCCGCCUAAAGCAAAGAAAAAUGUGGCCUAGAGAUCAGUGGUAUGAGUAGACCGAGCUUGGUUCUCGCCUCAAGCAGACCUGCUACUCACUCAGCCGAGAAUGGCUGUUGUGAUCUUAAUCGUGAGUAGAAAUUCGAGAAUCUAAGGGAAACCGACUGUAUUGUCCUGGAGAUUAUAAUGUAGGAGAUGUGAAGUAGGAUUGUGAGUGGGACAGGAUUGUGAUUAUUUGUUUGCGAUGUAAAGCAAAGGUAAAACCACUGGGUGUGGUAAAAUUGGGUGUUUCCAUGACUUGUAGUAGAUUAUACUACAGGAAUGUGUUAUUAGGAUUUUGUGAAGAGAGUACAUAAUGAUUGUGAUGUAAGCAGAGAGAUACAAACCACUGCUUGUGGAACGACGAGUGUUAUUAUUAUUGGCAACAACUGAGCACAUAUUGUAGUAUUAUGUUUAAGACAUGUCGUUUGUCAUAUGUUGCAUCCAUUGCUGAAUAUGCCAGUGUUAUGAUCGUCUGAGCAUAGAAUAUUGCGUAAGGCAAUUACUUUCAUUUAAUUUUAAAUAAAUGUAUAUUUACUUU